ACUACGAAUUGCAAUCGCUUCGACUCCAUCACCAUUCAUUUCGCCGCUCGUAGUCAUCAUGGGUUUCUCAAAGGAACAACCUCUGGCGCGCUUGAAGGAGCUUCAGAUUCCAUUUUCCCAGUAUGAGCAUCCAGUUGUUCUGACCGUUGACUCUCAGGCUCAAUAUGUUGUACACUUGGGGGUGGGCUGAGCAAGAACUUGUUUCUCAAGGACAAGAAAAACAGGUUGUAUGUUGUUUCUGCUUUAGCUGGUACCAAAGUAGAUCUCAAAGGUAUGCAUAAUUUUGUAAACCUCACGCAUAU